rnacentral:rRNA from 1 species
UACGUAGGGGGCAAGCGUUGUCCGGAUUUAUUGGGCGUAAAGAGCGUGUAGGCGGCCACACAGGUCAGCUGUGAAAACUCGAGGCUCAACCUCGAGACGUCGGUUGAAACCGUAUGGCUAGAGUCCGGAAGAGGAGAGUGGAAUUCCACGUGUAGCAGUGAAAUGCGUAGAGAUGUGGAGGAACACCGAUGGCGAAGGCAGCCCCCUGGGUUAACACUGACGCUCAGGCACGAAAGCGUGGGGAGCAAACAGG